UAGGCGCUAGGAUUAGAGUUAAAAAUAGUCUAUUCUAAGCUAAACAUUUUUAAGGGUGUUUUCUCGGACGCGGGUUCAAUUCCCGCCAUCUCCACCA
rnacentral:tmRNA from 1 species